CACGCUCUCCCGAUCACAAUCGUUAUCAGUAUACAACAACUUUCAAACUCCCUUCUUCAAUGGACUACCAAAAUCAGAAAGCCGCUAUAAAACCCAAUGAAUUCUUCAUUUGAUGCUCUGAACAGG